ACGAACGCUGGCGGCGUGCUUAACACAUGCAAGUCGAACGGAAAGGCCCUGCUUUUGUGGGGUGCUCGAGUGGCGAACGGGUGAGUAACACGUGAGUAACCUGCCCUUGACUUUGGGAUAACUUCAGGAAACUGGGGUUAAUACCGGAUAGGAGCUCCUGCUGCAUGGUGGGGGUUGGAAAGUUUCGGCGGUUGGGGAUGGACUCGCGGCUUAUCAGCUUGUUGGUGGGGUAGUGGCUUACCAAGGCUUUGACGGGUAGCCGGCCUGAGAGGGUGACCGGCCACAUUGGGACUGAGAUACGGCCCAGACUCCUACGGGAGGCAGCAGUGGGGAAUAUUGCACAAUGGGCGGAAGCCUGAUGCAGCAACGCCGCGUGCGGGAUGACGGCCUUCGAGUUGUAAACCGCUUUCGCCUGUGACGAAGCGUGAGUGACGGUAAUGGGUAAAGAAGCACCGGCUAACUACGUG
rnacentral:rRNA from 1 species